UAGCUCCCAGCUUGCCCGAGGAAGAAAUUUGAGGCCUGUCAGUGUUGCUCUGACUCUCCCAGAGGGGCUUCUUGAGACAGACAAAAGGCUCUUCAUCCUCUCAGGGGCAGUUCAUCCACAAGGGUUCCUAGCACGGCGUGCUGGAAGUGAAGCAUCAGAUAAGAGGCUGCCAUAAUAGCCCUGGUUUUGUUUUGUUUUUAAACAGUGCUCAUAUUCAAGAAUUUUUUUUGAUCAGAUGAGCAAACACAAGGGCAGGCUGGGACAAGUGUUAGCAAUGGAAAGGAUGGAGUAAUACACAAGUACUCGAAACCAAAUGCCACUGUAUGCACAAUAAUAAUGUGAGUGGAGACAGAUUUAUAUCUUCAUUGAGCUAUUUUAUUUCUUUAAGAAAAUAGUUUUAAAUUGUGCAUUGCUUGCUCAAACAGACACCUGGUGAAAAUCUUAUGUUGCUACUUCAGUGAGUUUGAGGUCCUGCCAUAGGAUUAAUGCUGGGAGAUCCCACUGGCUGCAUGAAGACUAUUGACCUCAAGAGGGUCACCUACCAGCAUCCUGUUGAAGUGCCUUGUAUAGUUAUUUUAGUAGCUAUUUGAAGAAUUAAAGUAACUAUGUCUACACUUACGGGGGAUCGACGCUGUGGAGAUUGAUGCACCCACUAAAUCGACCAUGGAUUGCUCUCCCGUCGACUCUGGUACUCCACUGUUACUAGAAGCAUAAGUGGUGCUCUUCUAAAGAAGAUACUAAGUCGGCCAUGCUUGAGCCCAAUUUCUGUUGCAUUCUGUAAAGUUGAGCAUGAAUGAUGUGGUCGAUCUCGAGGAGGACCUGUUUCCAGAUGGUGCCAUAUGCCGAGGACAAAUCAACAAGGGCGAUCCUUGUCUUCAACUUAUAUUGGAAUCCUGCCUCAGUGUGGCCGAUGGGGAAACUAAGGUACAGAAGAACUAUGAUUUUUCCAAGGUCAGGCAGUAAAUCAGUGACAGAACCAGGAAUGGAACGUAGAACCUGACACAUCAUCAUAUGAUCUAACUACUAGAUUAGUCUCCCUCACUGUACUGUAACUUAGAGGCAGCCACUCAUGGACAGUGAUAAAAAGCUUUAUUGAAUUACAUAAAAGCAAAUGUUUCCUUGAGGUAAAGAAUGCAUUUUGUGUUUUCCAGAAUAAUGUAUGUAAGAGCUCAGAAGCAUGAGACAAAUAACCUUUUAUGAGCAGGUCUUUUUGUUCUGAUUCUUAAUAGCCUAUAUCAUUUUAAAUUGGCAUAUUCUGUUUGAUAGUCGCAAUUUUAAGUAAACAAAUCUAAAACAGUCAUGGAACAAAGCAUAGCCAGUUGCUAAAUGUUUCCAUUUGAAGCAAUGUUGUUACUGUCCAAUAUGCCAUUUGAAGUCGUAGUGUUUUGCAAGCAAAUGUGAUCGAGUAUCAAUAAGAAUAAUUCUGUGAAAAAUUCUGUGAAGCAAAUGCUUGUAUUGUUUUAAUUAUAAAG